rfam:Cajanus cajan Scaffold134723_3, whole genome shotgun sequence.
CUCAGUUAUGUGUUCUCGCUGUAAAUAUGGACGUAAAGCAAUGUGUGGGCUUUAGAUGGGCUUCGCUCAGUUUUAGAUUGCCCAUAAAGGACCCACUUAUAUUG